rnacentral:rRNA from 1 species
AGCUCCAAUAGCGUAUAUUUAAGUUGUUGCGGUUAAAAAGCUCGUAGUCGUAUUUCGGGCGUCGUCGAUCGGUGCGUCCUCUUAGGGAGUGCGCUGGGGGGGACGUCUUUUUGUUCGGGAUGCGCUCCUGGGCUUAACUGUCCGGGACGCGUGCUGUACGAGGUCACUUUGAGUAAAUUAGGGUGUUCAAAGCAGGCGUGCGCUAUGCAUAUGUCAGCAUGGGAUGACACGAUAGGACCCCGUUCCGUGCGUCGGUUUGCGGGUGCGGGGUAAUGGUCGAUAGGGGGGAUCGGGGGCGUUCCUAUUUCGUCGUCAGAGGUGAAAUUCUUGGAUUUACGAAAGAGGAUCAACUGCGAAAGCAUUCGCCAAGGGCGCCCCCG